GGCUCAAUAGCUCAGCUGGUAGAGCAACGGACUGAAGAUCCGUGUGUCGGCGGUUCGACUCCGUCUUGAGCCA
rfam:Amphibacillus xylanus NBRC 15112 DNA, complete genome.